UGGCUCAGAUUGAACGCUGGCGGCAGGCCUAACACAUGCAAGUCGAGCGGUAGAGAGAAGCUUGCUUCUCUUGAGAGCGGCGGACGGGUGAGUAAUGCCUAGGAAUCUGCCUGGUAGUGGGGGAUAACGUUCGGAAACGGACGCUAAUACCGCAUACGUCCUACGGGAGAAAGCAGGGGACCUUCGGGCCUUGCGCUAUCAGAUGAGCCUAGGUCGGAUUAGCUAGUUGGUGGGGUAAUGGCUCACCAAGGCGACGAUCCGUAACUGGUCUGAGAGGAUGAUCAGUCACACUGGAACUGAGACACGGUCCAGACUCCUACGGGAGGCAGCAGUGGGGAAUAUUGGACAAUGGGCGAAAGCCUGAUCCAGCCAUGCCGCGUGUGUGAAGAAGGUCUUCGGAUUGUAAAGCACUUUAAGUUGGGAGGAAGGGCCAUUACCUAAUACGUGAUGGUUUUGACGUUACCGACAGAAUAAGCACCGGCUAACUCUGUGCCAGCAGCCGCGGUAAUACAGAGGGUGCAAGCGUUAAUCGGAAUUACUGGGCGUAAAGCGCGCGUAGGUGGUUUGUUAAGUUGGAUGUGAAAUCCCCGGGCUCAACCUGGGAACUGCAUUCAAAACUGACUGACUAGAGUAUGGUAGAGGGUGGUGGAAUUUCCUGUGUACGCGGUGAAAUGCGUAGAUAUAGGAAGGAACACCAGUGGCGAAGGCGACCACCUGGACUGAUACUGAC
rnacentral:rRNA from 1 species